ACCCUCUCAGGGUCGCACCUGCAGAGUGUCCAGCACUCUACCGGUCUCGACUAUGGGAGGCAGAGUCAAGCCGAGGCCUACCCAUUUCAUUCCUAGCUUGAGCAGUGGCUAGCGAGUGGAAGGCCAUCUGCUACAAGU